rnacentral:rRNA from 1 species
AGUGAACGCUGGCGAUAGGCCUAACACAUGCAAGUCGAACGGCAGCACAGUAAGAGCUUGCUCUUACGGGUGGCGAGUGGCGGACGGGUGAGGAAUACAUCGGAAUCUACUUUUUCGUGGGGGAUAACGUAGGGAAACUUACGCUAAUACCGCAUACGACCUACGGGUGAAAGCAGGGGAUCUUCGGACCUUGCGCGAUUGAAUGAGCCGAUGUCGGAUUAGCUAGUUGGCGGGGUAAAGGCCCACCAAGGCGACGAUCCGUAGCUGGUCUGAGAGGAUGAUCAGCCACACUGGAACUGAGACACGGUCCAGACUCCUACGGGAGGCAGCAGUGGGGAAUAUUGGACAAUGGGCGCAAGCCUGAUCCAGCCAUACCGCGUGGGUGAAGAAGGCCUUCGGGUUGUAAAGCCCUUUUGUUGGGAAAGAAAAGCAGCAGGUUAAUACGCCGCUGUUCUGACGGUACCCAAAGAAUAAGCACCGGCUAACUUCGUA